UCCGUAGGCGGGCAAUUAAGUCAGAGGUGAAAUCCCACAGCUCAACUGUGGAACUGCCUUUGAUACUGGUUGUCUUGAGUCACAGUGAAGUAGAUAGAAUAUGUAGUGUAGCGGUGAAAUGCAUAGAUAUUACAUAGAAUACCGAUUGCGAAGGCAGUCUACUAACUGUAUACUGACGCUAAUGGACGAAAGCGUGGGGAGCGAACAGGAUUAGAUACCCUGGUAGUCC
rnacentral:rRNA from 1 species